GGUGGAUUAGUGGUUAGAGCAUCCACCUCGGAUGCGGGAGAUCGUGGGUACAAUCCCCGAUCCAGUCA